rnacentral:tRNA from 5 species
GGGCGAGUGGCGGAACUGGCAGACGCGCAGGCUUGAGGGGCCUGUUCCCGCAAGGGAGUGGAGGUUCAAGUCCUCUCUCGCCCACCA